rnacentral:rRNA from 1 species
CUACGGAGGAUGCAAGCGUUAUCCGGAUUUAUUGGGUUUAAAGGGUUCGUAGGCGGAAAAUUAAGUCAGUGGUGAAAGCCUGCAGCUCAACUGCAGAACUGCCAUUGAUACUGAUUUUCUUGAAUUUAUAUGAAGUGGGCGGAAUGCGUCAUGUAGCGGUGAAAUGCACAGAUAUGACGCAGAACACCAAUUGCGAAGGCAGCUCACUAAUGUAAUAUUGACGCUGAGGAACGAAAGCAUGGGGAGCGAACAGGAUUAGAAACCCCAGUAGUCC